GAGGAUGUGGCUCAGUGGUAGAGUGCUUGCCUAGCAUGCAAGAGGCCCUGGGUUCAAUCCUCAGCACCUCACA
rnacentral:tRNA from 1 species